GACGAACGCUGGCGGCGUGCCUAAUACAUGCAAGUCGAGCGAAUGGAUGGGAGCUUGCUCCCUGAAGUUAGCGGCGGACGGGUGAGUAACACGUGGGCAACCUGCCUAUAAGACUGGGAUAACUUCGGGAAACCGGAGCUAAUACCGGAUAGUUCUUUUCCUCUCAUGAGGAAAAGGGGAAAGAUGGUUUCGGCUAUCACUUAUAGAUGGGCCCGCGGCGCAUUAGCUAGUUGGUGAGGUAACGGCUCACCAAGGCGACGAUGCGUAGCCGACCUGAGAGGGUGAUCGGCCACACUGGGACUGAGACACGGCCCGGACUCCUACGGGAGGCAGCAGUAGGGAAUCUUCCGCAAUGGACGAAAGUCUGACGGAGCAACGCCGCGUGAACGAAGAAGGCCUUCGGGUCGUAAAGUUCUGUUGUUAGGGAAGAACAAGUAUGAGAGUAACUGCUCGUACCUUGACGGUACCUAACCAGAAAGCCACGGCUAACUACGUGCCAGCCGCCGCCGUAACAC
rnacentral:rRNA from 1 species